CGUGUCGUCAGCUCGUGCCGUGAGGUGUCGGGUUAAGUCCCAUAACGAGCGCAACCCCUAUCAUUAGUUGCCAUCAGGUCAAGCUGGGGACUCUAAUGAAACUGCCUACGCAAGUAGUGAGGAAGGUGGGGAUGACGUCAAGUCAUCAUGGCCCUUACGGCCUGGGCUACACACGUGCUACAAUGGUCGGUACAAAGGGUUGCCAAGCCGCGAGGUGGAGCUAAUCCCAUAAAACCGAUCGUAGUCCGGAUCGCAGUCUGCAACUCGACUGCGUGAAGUCGGAAUCGCUAGUAAUCGUGAAUCAGAAUGUCACGGUGAAUACGUUCCCGGGCCUU
rnacentral:rRNA from 1 species